CAAGUCGAUCGGUAACGCGGGGCAACCUGGCGACGAGAGGCGGACGGGUGAGUAACGCUUGGGAAUCUACCUACUAAUGGGGGACAACCCGGGGAAACUCGGGCUAAUACCGCAUACGCACUACGGUGGAAAGCCGGGGACCGCAAGGCCUGGCGUUAGUAGAUGAGCCCAAGUCGGAUUAGCUUGUUGGCGGGGUAACGGCCCACCAAGGCGACGAUCCGUAGCUGGUCUGAGAGGACGACCAGCCACACCGGAACUGAGACACGGUCCGGACUCCUACGGGAGGCAGCAGUGGGGAAUAUUGGACAAUGGGGGAAACCCUGAUCCAGCGACGCCGCGUGGGUGAAGAAGGCCUGCGGGUUGUAAAGCCCUUUCGGUGGGGAAGAAAAGUUGUCGUUUAAUAAACGAUGACCUUGACGUAACCCACUAAAGAAGCACCGGCUAACUCUGUGCCAGCAGCCGCGGUAAUACAGAGGGUGCGAGCGUUAAUCGGAAUUACUGGGCGUAAAGCGCGCGUAGGCGGUUUUUCAAGUCGGAUGUGAAAUCCCCAGGCUCAACCUGGGAACUGCAUUCGAGACUGGAUUACUAGAGUAUGGGAGAGGGAAGUGGAAUUUCCGGUGUAGCGGUGAAAUGCGUAGAUAUCGGAAGGAACAUCAGUGGCGAAAGCGACUUCCUGGACCAAUACUGACGCUCAUGUGCGAAAGCGUGGGGAGCAAACAGGAUUAGAUACCCUGGUAGUCCACGCCAUAAACGAUGAGAACUGGAUGUCGAGGGGGUCUGCCUCUCGGUGUCGUAGCUAACGCGUUAAGUUUCUCCGCCUGGGGAGUACGGCCGCCAGGUUGAAA
rnacentral:rRNA from 1 species